CAACUAUACUGUGAAACUGCGAAUGGCUCAUUAAAUCAGUUAUCGUUUAUUUGAUCAUAACCUACUACAUGGAAUACCUGUGGAAAAUCUAGAGCUAAUACAUGCUAAAGCCCCAACUUCGGAAGGGGUGUGUUUAUUAGAUAAAAAGCCAAUGCCCUUCGGGGCUCCUUGGUGAUUCAUGAUAACCUUUCUGAUCGCAAAUGGCCUCCGCGCCGGCGACGGUUCAUUCAAAUUUCUGCCCUAUCAACUUUCGAUGGUACGGUAGUGGCCUACCAUGGUGUCAACGGGUAACGGGGAAUUAGGGUUCGAUUCCGGAGAGGGAGCCUGAGAAACGGCUACCACAUCCAAGGAAGGCAGCAGGCGCGCAAAUUACACAAUGUCGACUCGACGAUGUAGUGACAAUAAAUACUGAUACAGGGCUCUUUUGGGUCUUGUAAUUGGAAUGAGUACAAUUUAAACCUCUUAACGAGGAACAAUUAGAGGGCAAGUCUGGUGCCAGCAGCCGCGGUAAUUCCAGCUCUAAUAGCGUAUAUUAAAGUUGUUGCAGUUAAAAAGCUCGUAGUUGAACCUUUGGCUUGGCGAGCACGUCCGCCUCACCGCGUGCACGUGACCCGCCGAGCCUUUUCUUCUGGAGAACCGCAUGCCCUUCACUGGGUGUGUUGGGGACCAGGACUUUUACUUUGAAAAAAUUAGAGUGUUCAAAGCAGGCCUUUGCUCGAAUACGUUAGCAUGGAAUAAUGGAAUAGGACGUGCGGUCCUAUUUUGUUGGUUUCUAGGACCGCCGUAAUGAUUAAUAGGGACAGUCGGGGGCAUCAGUAUUCAAUUGUCAGAGGUGAAAUUCUUGGAUUUAUUGAAGACUAACUACUGCGAAAGCAUUUGCCAAGGAUGUUUUCAUUAAUCAGUGAACGAAAGUUAGGGGAUCGAAGACGAUCAGAUACCGUCGUAGUCUUAACCAUAAACUAUGCCAGCUGGGGGAUCGAACGGUGUUUCUAUUGUGACCCGUUCGGCACCCUACGAGAAAUCAAAGCGUUUGGGUUCUGGGGGGGAGUAUGGUCGC
rnacentral:rRNA from 1 species